rnacentral:lncRNA from 1 species
UCUUCAAAUUUCCUUGAAGUGUACUCACCUCCAUUGUCACUUCAGAAACGCUUUAGCUUUUGGCUUGUCUCCCUUUCCACCAGAGCAAGAAGCUUCUGGAAAACUUAAAACACCUGAUCUUUGGUUUUCAAAAUAUAAACCCAUAAUUUUCGUGAAGUAUCAUCAAUAAAAGUAACAAAAUAUUUGUUACCACCCAUCGAUUUAAUUUUCAUUGGACCACAAAAUUAGAAUAUACCUAAUCAAGCAUAUUCAAUUUUCUUUCAGACGAUGUCUGAAAUAAGACUAUAUGCUGCUUACCAAAUAAACAGAAAUUUUUAAAUUAUGAGUAUUGGAGUAUAUUUUUAUUGAUUGUACUUUGUUUGAUUAGUUUCGGAUUUAUGGGCAUCGAUUUGAGGUGAUAGAGAGGCGCUGGAGCCGGUUAUGGAACUUCAGAGCGAGGUAAGUCUCAUAUCUAAUCUUGUGAGGGGAAAAUUUACCCCGUAUGUGUCAUAUUUAUUAUAUGCUACAUGUUGUGGGAGCUAUGCACGAAUGAGGUGACGAGUGUCCGUGUGUAUGCUAGAAUUCCUGAUUAUGUCCGGGUAGAAUUAGACUCACGCCAUACUUAAAUUGUUCUAUUUGAGUUAUUCUUGCAUGUUUAAAUGCUUUAAUUUACAUUUAGCCUAAUACUAGACACGCGUAGAGUAUCGGACUUGCUAUUUUAGAUACUUGACGAUCUACUUGAUUAGUUGUAGAAAUUGUACUUUCCUUACGGGUUUCUCCCGCGUUAUGCAUAUUCAUUGGAAAGUUUUUUUUAAUUUAAUAACUCACACAUAUAUUCGUGAGUAGGGUCAAAGAUCCGUAAAAGCUUUAUAUUUUUAUGGGAUCGGGUCGCUCGCCUCGGCAGUAUCAUGUAUCACACUCUUGUUUGAUCGGGUUGUUUGCCUCGGCAGGAUAUUGUAACACACUCUUAUGGGAUCGGGCCAUUCGCCUCGGCAGUAUCAUGUAUCACACUCUUAUGGGAUCAUGUUGUUCACCUCGGCAGUAUCAUGUAUCACACUCUUAUGGGAUCAGGUCGUUCGACUUGGCAGGAUUUGUAACAUACUCUUAUGGGAUCGAGUCAUUCGCCUCAGCAGUAUGAUGUAUCACACUCUUAUGGGAUUGGGCCGUUCGCCUCGGCAACUUCAUGAAAUACUCUUAUGGGAUCGGGCCUCCCGCCUCGGCAGAAUCGUGUAUAAUAUUUUAUAAGAAGCCAGUGGAUCCG